AUUUGUAUAAUAUAAAAAGUAUAUAUAACUUCCAAUUAUACAGUUUAAAAAAUUUUAAUACAAAUA
rnacentral:tRNA from 1 species